rnacentral:rRNA from 1 species
GCCAAACCGUAAAAUUAACUCACAAUAAUAAACGCCAGGGUAUUACGAGCUUUAGCUUAAAACCCAAAGGACUUGACGGUGUCCCACCCCACUAGAGGAGCCUGUUAUUUAAUCGAUGAUCCACGUUAUACCUAACCAUUUUUUGCUUUUCAGCCUGUAUACCUCCGUCGCAAGCUUACCCUAUGAAUGUCACACAGUAGGCCCAAUAGUCUAAACACUACAACGUCAGGUCAAGGUGCAGCUUAUAAAAUGGUAAUUAAUGAGCUACAAUUUCUGACACAGAACAAACGAAUUACUACCUGAAAUAUAGUUAUGAAGGAGGAUUUAGUAGUAAAUAGAGAAUAAAGAGCUCUAUUAAACCUGCCCUGGGACGUGUACAAACCGCCCGUCACCCUCUUCGAUAGCCUUCACUUAGCUUCAUAACCCAUUCUAGCACUUUAGAAGAGGCAAGUCGUAACAUGGUAAGUGUACUGGAAAGUGCACUUGGAAUAACAAAAUGUACCUUAAUUAAAGCUUUUCGCUUACACCGAAAAAAUAUUUGUGCAACCCAAAUCAUUUUGAGCCUACAAUCUAGCCUAUAAUAUUUUCAAAUAAACACAAACUUAUUACCCUAUUAACAUAAAACAUUUUAAUAAUAUAGUAGAGGCGAUCAAACAAUACUUAGCGCUUUAGAUAAAGUACCGCAAGGGAAGGAUGAAAUAAAAAUGAAAACCCAAAGCUAAUAAAAGCAGAGACCACAACUCG